rnacentral:rRNA from 1 species
AGAGUUUGAUCCUGGCUCAGGAUGAACGCUAGCGGCGUGCUUAAUGCAUGCAAGUCGAACGAGGCUGGAGCAAUCCGGCCUAGUGGCGGACGGGUGAGUAAGACGUUGGUGACCUACCCUGGAGAGGGGGAUAACUAUUGGAAACGAUAGCUAAUACCCCGGAUGUCGACCUGGUUAGAGAGGGUUGACUGAAGCUACGGUGCUCUAGGAGGGGCCAGCGGCCCAUCAGCUAGUUGGUGUGGUAACGGCACACCAAGGCGAAGACGGGUAGGGGGCGUGAGAGCGUGACCCCCCACACUGGUACUGAGAGACGGACCAGAUACCUACGGGUAGCAGCAGCAAGGAAUAUUGCCCAAUGGACGGAAGUCUGAGGCAGCAACGCCGCGUGAAGGAUGAAGGCCUUCGGGUCGUAAACUUCUUUUAAGAGGGAAGAGAAAGGACGGUACCUCUUGAAUAAGCUUCGGCUAACUACGUGCCAGCAGCCGCGGUAAAACGUAGGAAGCGAGCGUUAUCCGGAUUUACUGGGCGUAAAGCGCAUGCAGGCGGUUCCAUAAGUUAGACUUGAAAGCUCCUGGCUCAACUAGGAGAGGCGGUUUAAGACUGUGGGACUAGAGGAUGGACGAGGAGAGCGGAAUUCCCGGUGUAGUGGUGAAAUGCGUAGAUAUCGGGAGGAACACCAGUGGCGAAAGCGGCUCUCUAGGCCGUACCUGACGCUCAGAUGCGAAAGCCAGGGGAGAGAACGGGAUUAGAAACCCCGGUAUUCCUGGCCGUAAACGAUGUUAACUAGGCGUAGGGGGUGUCAAAGCCUUCUGUGCUGCAGCCAACGCGAUAAGUUAACCGCCUGGGGACUACGGCCGCAAGGCUAAAACUCAAAGGAAUUGACGGGGGCCCGCACAAGCAGCGGAGCGUGUGGUUUAAUUCGAGAUACGCGAAGAACCUUACCAGGGAAUGAUAUGCAGAUGGUAGCGAGGUGAAAGCUGAGCGACCCUUCGGGGAGUCUGCACAGGUGCUGCAUGGCUGUCGUCAGCUCGUGCCGUGAGGUGUUAGGUUAAGUCCUGUAACGAGCGCAACCCUCGUCGUUAGUUACAAGUGUCUAACGAGACCGCCGGUGAUAAGCCGGAGGAAGGUGGGGAUGACGUCAAGUCAGCAUGGCCUUUAUAUCCUGGGCUACACACACGCUACAAUGGCCGGUACAAUGGGCUGCGAAACCGCGAGGUGGAGCCAAUCCCGCAAAGCCGGUCUCAGUUCGGAUGGCAGGCUGCAACUCGCCUGCCUGAAGUCGGAGUUGCUAGUAACCGCGCGUCAGCAUAGUGCGGUGAAUACGUUCCCGGGCCUUGUACACACCGCCCGUCACGUCAUGGAAGUUGGCAACGCCUGAAGCCGGUGGGCUAACCCGCAAGGGGAGCAGCCGUCCGAGGCGGGGUCGGUAACUGGGACGAAGUCGUAACAAGGUA